rnacentral:rRNA from 1 species
GUAUAAGAGACAGCAGCAGCCGCGGUAAUACGUAGGGUGCGAGCGUUAAUCGGAAUUACUGGGCGUAAAGCGUGCGCAGGCGGUUCGUUAAGACAGAUGUGAAAUCCCCGGGCUUAACCUGGGAACUGCAUUUGUGACUGGCGAGCUAGAGUAUGGCAGAGGGGGGUAGAAUUCCACGUGUAGCAGUGAAACGCGUAGAGAUGUGGAGGAAUACCGAUGGCGAAGGCAGCCCCCUGGGCCAAUACUGACGCUCAUGCACGAAAGCGUGGGGAGCAAAUAGGAUUAGAUACCCGUGUAGUCCCUGUCUCUUAUAC